CAAAAUGUGGCAUGGAGCUGCUAGUACCUUCCUCUCUAAAAUAAUCUUCCAUCAGAGCUGCGUGUACCAUGUAUGUUACCAUUUAUGUACAUGUCAUCUCCCUCUUCAGAAGGUAAGCUCCUUGAAGGUAGGGACUGUUUUUUUCUUUUUAUAUAUAUUCCUGGGCACAAAGUGAUCACUUAAUUAAUACUUGUUGAUUGGUUCAUGAGAAAAUUAAAAACAAAUUUGAUUUAAGCGCAAUAAUCUCUUUUUUUGUCAAUACGUUUUCUCCAUUAAUUCAUGAGCUGACAGCUUAGUAGAUAAGCUUCAGGAC
rnacentral:lncRNA from 1 species